rnacentral:sRNA from 1 species
GUGUCUGUGGGGCUCUGGACUCUGUAUCUGGAACUGGUGGCGUCGGCCCAGGUCGGCGGGAACCCCUUGAACCGGAGGUACGGCAGCUGGAGAGAACUGGCCAAGGCUCUGGCCAGCAGGAACAUUCCAGCUGUGGAUCCACACCUCCAGUUCUACCAUCCCCAGAGGCUGAGCCUCAAGGACCAUGACAUUGACCAAGCAGGGAGCCGUAACAGCAGCUACUUGAAGUGGAACAGGCCUGUCCCCUGGCUCUCAGAGUUCCGGGGCCGUGCCAACCUGCAUGUGUUUGAGGACUGGUGUGGCAGCUCUAUCCAGCAGCUCAGGAGGAACCUGCAUUUCCCACUGUACCCCCACAUUCGCACAACCCUGAGGAAGCUUGCUGUGUCCCCUAAAUGGACCAACUAUGGCCUCCGCAUCUUUGGCUACCUGCACCCCUUUACUGAUGGGAAAAUCCAGUUUGCCAUUGCUGCAGAUGACAACGCGGAGUUCUGGCUGAGUCUCGAUGACCAGGUCUCAGGCCUCCAGCUGCUGGCCAGUGUGGGCAAGACUGGGAAGGAGUGGACCGCCCCGGGAGAGUUCGGGAAAUUUCGGAGCCAGAUUUCCAAGCCAGUGAGGUGAGUAAGGGUCACGACAGACGUGAGCACCUCAGUGCUGAGGCCGGGUCUCGGCGGCCUACUCCAGGGGCCCCGCGUGUCCGGCACCC